CAGAGACGAUGAAGGACGUGAUAAGCUGCGAUAAGCUGCGGGGAUUAGCACAUAUGAAUUAAUCCGCAGAUUUCCGAAUGGGACAACCCGGCCAGUUGAAGACUGGUCAUCCCGCCUCGGCGGGAAGUUAACCCAGGGAACUGAAACAUCUAAGUACCUGGAGGAAGAGAAAACAAUAGUGAUUCCCUAAGUAGUGGCGAGCGAACGCGGAUUAGCCCAAACCAUACCCGUUACGGCGAGUAUGGGGUUGUAGGACUGUUAAGUGCGUAUAUAAGAGAACUGGAACCAUCUGGAAAGUUGGAUCAUAGAGGGUGAAAAUCCCGUACAGGCAAUUUUAUAUACCGGGACAGUAUCCUGAGUAGGGCGGAGCAGGUGAAACUCCGUUUGAACCA
rnacentral:rRNA from 12 species